GACGAACGCUGGCGGCGUGCUUAACACAUGCAAGUCGAGCGGUAAGGCCCUUUCGGGGGUACACGAGCGGCGAACGGGUGAGUAACACGUGGGCGACCUGCCCUCAGCUCUGGGAUAAGCCCGGGAAACUGGGUCUAAUACCGGAUAUGACUCCAUGGCGCAUGUUGUGGGGUGGAAAGCCUUGUGCGGCUGAGGAUGGGCCCGCGGCCUAUCAGCUUGUUGGUGGGGUGAUGGCCACCAAGGCGACGACGGGUAGCCGGCCUGAGAGGGCGACCGGCCACACUGGGACUGAGAUACGGCCCAGACUCCUACGGGAGGCAGCAGUGGGGAAUCUUGCGCAAUGGGCGAAAGCCUGACGCAGCGACGCCGCGUGAGGGAUGACGGCCUC
rnacentral:rRNA from 1 species